rnacentral:rRNA from 1 species
UACGUAGGUGGCGAGCGUUGUCCGGAAUCACUGGGCGUAAAGGGCGCGUAGGCGGUUCAACAAGUCACAUGUGAAAUACCAGGGCUCAACCUUGGGGUGUCAUGUGAAACUGUAGGACUUGAGUGCAGUAGAGGGAAGCGGAAUUCCUGGUGUAGCGGUAAAAUGCGUAGAGAUCAGGAGGAACACCGGUGGCGAAGGCGGCUUCCUGGGCUGUAACUGACGCUCAGGCGCGACAGCGUGGGGAUCAAACAGG